AUUCCAGCUCCAAUAGCGUAUAUUAAAGUUGUUGCAGUUAAAAAGCUCGUAGUUGGAUUUCUGGUAGAAGUAGCGACCUUGGGUCUUUGACCUAUGAAGUUGCUAUCUUCAACCAUCCUUGAAGAGAUUUAGUUUGGCAUUAAGUUGUCGAACUAAAGAUAUUCAUCUUUUACUGUGAAAAAAACAGAACGUUCAAAGUAAGCAUUUAGCUUUGAAUGUAUUAGCAUGGAAUAAUGAAAUAGGACUUAGGUACUACUUUGUUGGUUUAUGCACCUAGGUAAUGAUUAAUAGGGAUAGUUGGGGGUAUUCGUAUUCCAAUGUUAGAGGUGAAAUUCUUGGAUUUUUGGAAGACGAACAACUGCGAAAGCAUUUACCAAGGAUGUUUUCAUUA
rnacentral:rRNA from 1 species